rnacentral:lncRNA from 1 species
UACAGGAGCUAUUGUAUUUUUAUAUCUCCGCUGUUAGUGCAUAGUAGAUACCCAGCUUAGAGUAGGCUGAGUUUAUGCUUGCGCUGAGGGGCCGAGCUUGUUGUACAGUAGCGUUUGGGCUGUCGGGUGCCGUCGGGGUUGAUGGUGGACCCAGAUUUUCGUAUCACCGCUGUUAGUGAGAGGUGGAUACUCGGAUGAGUGUAGGUUGAGUUUACGCUCGUCCUGAGGAGCCGAGUGUGUUGUUACAGUACAGUUAGGCUGUGUUGGGCCGUCGGGCGCCGUCGAAGUUGACGAUGGACCCAGAUUUCUGUAUUUUGCAUAUGAUUGUG